rnacentral:lncRNA from 1 species
CCUAAGCCCGAGUUCUACAGACAAAAAAAGCCAAAAAAAAACAAAAAGGAAAACUCAACGGCGUCGUUUAGGAAAUGAGUGUAAAAAAAUUUCUAAAUUUUAUUGUAAACGAUUUUUGGAUUCUCAUUCGUUCACACACGCAGAAGGUAGAAGCUUGCCGUUAAUCUAUUACUUGACCUUAAUCGAACGGUCAUUAUCUAUCUGCAGAUGGAUCGCGGCCGUGGAUGCCCAAAGUUUGAACUUUACCGUUGUUUCCCGGACAGUCAGGUAUUCAAAAAAAAAAAAAAAAAAAAAAAAUACAAAGCUUUCUGCUUUCACAUAAUUUGGCGCCAUAAGCUUUUCAUUUCAUAAAUGGUUCAUUCGAGAGGAAUUGAGGAGGAAAGCAGCCUCUUUUAUCAAUUGACUGUUUAUUUAUUUAUUUAUUUUUCCUUUUCCUUGCUGGCUGCUGAUUUUUUUUUAACAUAUGCUUAUAGAUAAUCGAAUUUAUUUCUACAUGUUAAUGAUCAAUAUUAGCGCAAUUUACUGAUUGUCUAAUUCGGGGUUUCUAAGUCGUAGCUUACUUUCUAAUUUGAUUGGAUGGAUGGCUAGAUAAGGUGUUGGAUUACUUACUAGUGAGGUAAAACAAUACAAUAAAAAUUUUAACGGUUAGGUCAGAUUGUUCAUUUGUUCCAACUUCAAUGAAUUGGAGAAGCCUGAUGGACAGAGAUGGGACUCUGGUGAUCUUGGAGAUUAUUAAAAUGAAAUAGUGGUCUUGUUUCGCAGUGAUUGGUAUAUGUCACCUUGGCACAUAGCAUGAUUAGAGGGAGACUUUUUUGUUGGAUCAUGGUUUCCAUUCUUUUACAAUAAUCACUCGCAUCCCUUCCUCAAUCCCAAGAUCUUUCUUUCUGUGAAUAUGCAUGGGGUGAAAACUUAAUAUUUAAUUUGCUAAAGAUGUUAUCUUUAUUUUAUUUCUAACAGUCAUCCGCAGUCAUUUUAUCAUCUGCUUGUUGGCACUUUAUUGAAGCAAUGAAUCCACAUUCAUCAACGAUUUUGUUCUGUUUUGCCUUAGAUGGAAAAGGGUGUUUUCUUUUCCUAGGCUUUUUGUCGCAAUGGCGCAUUAAGAUCAACUAAGUUAUGCAUAUUAGAAUCAACUUCUUUCUGAGGAGAUCUUGGGCUAGUUAGAGUUUGGUAUCUUUGUACUAUAACCUUGACUCGGGAUUCAAACUAUGACGACUAUGUUGACAAAUUCCUAAAAGUGGGAAAGAUAAUGAUGAUUCUUCUAGAAUUCACGCAAUCGUCCAUGCUAAGCAGCUAUUUCAGUUGGGAUGAUUCAAUAUGGUCACCUCACAUUGAAUAUUUUCCACGUAAUCGUCUUCAAAAUUUGUGUUGGCAUGUAAAAUCAGGUCAUGACUCGUGAAAAACAGCAUAUGAUGGAUUUUUUUGUCUCCCUUAACUAUGAGUUCAUUCCAUCUUAAAUCAUAAUUGAGAUCUCUGUGGCACAGAUACAAGCUAAUUUUGUUGAAAGAUAAAAGCUGCUCUGUCCCUAUCCAAUUUAUAUCUCAGAAGUAGUUAUAAAAUAGCAGAGUUUUCCUUUCAGAAGUGGAGUAAGGAAAAGGAGUCAUUUAUCUUGCAGUCUUUGUGUGUGCUCAUAUUGAGUAAAUAAGUAAGGGUGAACUUUAGAGGUUGUGUAUGUGUCUGUUGUUGUGGUUUUGUUAGUUCAGGGGAGAGCUUAAGAUCUUUGUUUGAAAUUUGAAACAACAUAAGUAUAAUAAAAGAGGCUUGUUACAUUGAAGUAACAUUUGUAAGAGUGGUAGCAAUACAAAAGAAUUUUACUAUCAUCUGCUAGAAGCUUUAGUAAUAAUGCAAAGAUAUGUAAUUAAAAAAAAUAAAAAUGAAGAAAAUUUAAAAUAUAUGUUGAAAAAAAUAAAAAAAAGAGAAAAAAAUGUAGAUGUUUCUUAGUAAAGCCCUGCGCCAUCAUCUACACUGCUCUCUAUGUCUUUUGAUUAUGACCUUAUCUCGGAUAUUAGAAAUGGCGCUGGCUUACUGAAUGGAUUCAAAGACCAUCUCUAAUAGCUUCACUAUACAAAUUUCUUUAUAACAAAAACUCUAAAACAAGAUAGGUAAAACCAAUCAAGCCAACCUCAUAAAAGUUCUUUGAUAAAACAGAUACAACUCACCAACUUCUAGUUUCCUCUGCGUUGCUAGAAACUGUUUCUUUAAAUGCUAAAUUGCUGCUUAUCUCUUUGGUUGAGCAACCAACUUGAACGUAUCAUGAUCUGUUGUGGAUAGGAUCUGACCCUCUUCGCACUCUUCUUUUGCUUGAUUGAUUUGGGUCAAACUUGUUGUCUAUUUUUGUUGAUUUCUUCUCUGCAUUCAUUCCCACCAUGGUGGUUUCCUUGAGGAUACGUUGAUUUUGUGGCACCAUGCCUUGAUUAUGUUGGUUCUGUCUGAGGACGAGGUCUAUACUUCGCAAGCCAGAAACUUUAUCUGGUUGAACUGAUAAUAACAACCCCAUACAGAUAAGAAGGAUGAGCACUCUUCGAGCAAAAAACACCAUUAUUGUCUCUAAACGUGGACAAACAAGAAGAAUAGAAGUAUCUUCUUUUUGUUUAGAGUAAUAUGAGAAUAAGCAAGUUGAUGGAGAUUGUAUUCUUUCUAUCCUUAUGUUAUAUUCCUGUAGAUGUAACCCGUAAGGCCGUUAUUUAUCUCUUAUUGGAUUGUAGGGGCUUUAAAGCAUAAAGCAGGGAGGGCCCCAGGUCACUCAGAGAUAUUUAGAUUCACCCAAAUCAUAAGACUGCAUUCUAUGCAAAUUAAGGCUGUUGUGGAAGAAUCUGACCAGAAUAAAUAAAGGGGUUGGAACAAUACCAUUGAGAAGCCAAGUAUCUUUUUUCAUUUGUUUCCCUACAUCUCUAUCGUUUGCCCGGCUUUUGUCUACCAAAACAUGGCCAUCUCAGUCUCUUGAAUUCAUAACCAUUUUGCCACGUCACCUGACCAUGCUUACCUGGUUAAGCAUUAGGGACUGUCACAUUCUUUGUUAGUUAAUUGUCAUACUCAGCUUGAUUAAAGCUUGUUUUAAGAUUAUUUUAUUUUCCCUAAGGUCUAUACAUCUUGAGCUUCUUUCACUGCAGGAUUGAUGUAUUCAGAUGCAAAUUUUGCCCACAUGGUAAUAUGAAAUGAAAGUUUCUCUUCUGGGUAUUCUAGUAAAUUUUCGUUUCUUUGUUAUUAAGAAAAGGAAGUUUUUGUUUCUUUUGAAUGGUAGUGAUGAGGCAGUCAAAAGCCAUGGACUAGGACCACUUGAUAACAACUAGAUUGCUACAGUGGCAAGCAAGUCAUAUAAAGAAUCAAUUUGGGAAGGAAAAGACUAAGUAAUAGAUCAGCAGCCCCCAAAAGAAACAAACACUUGCUUUAUGCCAUUCUAAGAUCUCUCCACUUUAGAAUUCUAAGCUCUCUUCCCUAUGCAACUAAACUAACAGUUCUUGGUUUCUUGUGCUAAAUGUGUUUCUUUAUGCUUUACUCUGCUCUUCUUUGGAUUGCCAAACUCUUAAUCCCUGUUCAAUGAUUCAGAGAUGGCCCACUUUCUCUUCUCGUUUGUAAUUUUUAUUUUACUCAUUUAUUCAAGUUCAUCUUUUCCUUUAUUUCCCUCUCUUUAUUUUACUGUUGUUAAUAUAUAAUAUGGUAACAUCACAUGCAACUAGGAACAUUCUAAAGCAUAUAUUCUCACUUUUUCCCCCCCAAAAUACUAGAUGAUGGCAUUUGAUGGUGCCUUUGGGUGAAGGUACAUGAUGACUGGUCACACCCCAAGUAGUAGAACCUUUAGAUUGAACAUUUAAAAUAUGCAAUUCUCUGCUUUUUAUCCUCCAUUUGAAGUAUUAGUGUUACUUGUGUUGUUGCUUUCUAUUCGUUAAAUUCCAGCUUUGGUUUCAUGCCUUGAUUUUCUUUUAUACAUAUUAUAUUUUCUUCUUAAAUACAAGUUGGAUGUGCGCAUGUAUUCAUGUUAUGCAGAUGCAUACGCAUUUACUUAGGUACUUUUUUGUGGGCAUGACUCCAAAGAACUAAACCUCAUACAUAGAAAUUUAGAUAGUUCAAUUUUUUGAUGUUGUCGAAUUUAUUCCCGCUACAUAAUUAAAUCUGUAUUCAUCCUUAACACCGGAUCAUAUAUUUUCUAAAGAAUCAUAAUGAAGUAUCUUUCCAUCAUAUCUCAAUUAUUUCAUUCUUGCUUCCAGUCCUCCAUUGCCGUACCAGCUUACUGCUCGAAGCCUCUAAAAUGUUGAGACAGGUGGAUAUAACGUGGGACCUGGUAGGGGAUGGUUGCUUAGAUUGGUACGGUUCGUACUAUUUUAAGGUUAAAUUAACUGUACUUGAUUAGAUACGCCUGCUCCUCUGUCAAAGUUACCAUUAGAAUCUUAAUUGGGCCAUACCAUACCCAGUACCCACCCUCGUUCUUUAUCAUUAUGAGCACAGAAGCAAGACAAUAACAAAAACAGAAAAUGUAGCAAAUUGUAUUUUAUGGCUUUGUCGAUUCUCGAGGUUGGUCUUAAAGUUGUGACUUUUUGGUACUUUCAUUUAAAUCUGCGGCCUCAGAAGUUUUAAGAGUCACAAAGCAAGUUAAAGAAGAUAAAGCAAUCUGAGUUUGUAAUUUUCACAGUUCGUAUACCUGUUUUUGAAACUAUUCUCUGUUUUAUUUAUUUAUUUAUUUAAAUUGUAGAUUUCAUUUCCAUAAAACCCAUAUUUUGGUUGGCUUAAAAGUAAAUUGUGAAAAUAACAUCAUCUGUCGAGAUUGCAUACUGCAUUUUAGGGUAUGGGAAAAACCUCUCCAUCUAGGCGGCUUGGAAAGUUUUAUUCUUCGGCACAAGCUGCUUUUUUUUUUUUUUUAAAUUUUUUUUGGGCCAUAAUAAAAACAAAAUUAGGAUGAUUAAUUGACGUUUGAUUUUUUACUUUCUUGGUCAAAAUAAUAACAUUUGAUUUGCAGAGGGUCCCUCUUAAAAUUGUUAAUGCUCCAAAGGGAAGACAAAAGUGAGAGCUGCAAUCAGAAUGUUACCAAACUUACGUUAAAGGAAGAUGCUUACCUUGUUCUACUUUAAGAUUGUUCUUGUCUUGUAGAUCACAACGUAACUAUGUGAGAAUGAGAAUAUAUGCUUUGCCAUUUAAUAUGCAAAUGAUCUUCACGCUGCAAAGCACCCUCCAACAAAUUAUUAUUAUUAUAUUUUUUUUAAUUCUGAGGAAGAAAUGACUGCUAAAUCUUGUCUAGUUGAAAAAUUAUGGAAACGGCUCUUCUUCACACAUUCAAGGAUCAGAACAAAUGUUUCUAUAAGCAGAUGACUAAAGUUGGUCAGGUGGUAUCAAUUUUCAAUUCACUAAAAUCGAUCUAAAAUCAAAGAGAAAUGGGAUUAUGACGAAACUUCUAUUUUGUCAAACAAAUUACGAAUUCAAAGCUACAUUUACUAAAGAACCCAGCAUUACAAUUCAAUGUAAUUCGACAGGAGGCAAACAACCUGAAAGCUUUCAGAUUACUGAAGCUAAAACAUGAACCUGAUAUCAACAUGAAAAAAUCGUCAAUCACAUCACUUAUUUACAUGUACGCCGACUACAAAUAUAGAAUUUAACAAGGCAACUGAGUUUAGAUUUUAACCCUCUUUACUGAACGACUGAUAUUAAGCAUAGAGAACUUCAUUUUCACAUGGAUAAAACAAAUGAAACAAAAUGUCUCAAAAGCUGAAGUGCAUCAUUUGGUUUCUUUGAUAGGUCACUAAUAUAAAUUUUAAUACAAAUGUAACCUUGCUCAACUCCUGUUAUUUGGUAGCAGAUUUCUUUUAAAUAAUCCUUUUGUUAGCUCGGUCACUUACCCCGUAUCUGUUUAAGACGGAAUCAAUGAAACAAUGUGAAUAUGCAGGCUUCUCAAACAGGUUCCUGAGGCUGAGUUGCGGUAAGGUUAGAUCCCGAUGCUAUGGUAAACUGCAGACCCCUUCGUUGUCCAGAUUGUAGCACAAAUGCAACUUGUGUUGCGGCCAAUGCAGCAGCCUCCUGUUACACCAAAUUAUGGUACUAACUUCAGCAAACAUCCCCUAAUGGAUCACAAAACAACUCUAUAAUGUAAUGUUUGCAUUUUCUCCCCCAACUUGUUACUUGUUAGUGGUAGCUUAAAGUUCUUUGAUGUACACCCAAAAGAAAUGUUAGAAUGUAAUGUUCUUAAAAGAUGUUUAUUUAUCAG